rnacentral:rRNA from 1 species
AGAUUGAACGCUGGCGGCAUGCCUGACACAUGCAAGUCGAACGGGAGUAGCAAUACUCUAGUGGCGGACGGGUGAGGAAUACGUAGGAAUUUGCCCUUAAGUGGGGGAUAACCCGGGGAAACCCGGAUUAAUACCGCAUGACCUCGAAAGAGCAAAGUGGGGGAUCGCAAGACCUCACGCUUUUGGAGAAACCUACGUCGGAUUAGCUAGUUGGUGAGGUAAUGGCUCACCAAGGCGACGAUCCGUAACUGGUCUGAGAGGAUGAUCAGUCACACCGGAACUGAGACACGGUCCGGACUCCUACGGGAGCAGCAGUGGGGAAUAUUGGACAAUGGGCGCAAGCCUGAUCCAGCAAUGCCGCGUGUGUGAAGAAGGCCUCGGUUGUAAGA